GGAAGGAUUGCGAAAUCAAUCCAUGUCUUUCCAUAGCUGCGGCUACAUGUACACGCAUACAAUACAUGCAUACAAUGUAUGUAUGCUGUACUCCCACAUUUCUGUCAAUGCUAAAAACAACGACAAAUAAACAAUAAAGCCCGGGAAUGGAGUAAAGUGCCCGGAUGGUGUGACGCGAAAUGUAUUGUCUUCGGUCAUGAUCGGUCGCGGUUGAUUUGAACGCCAGUCAGUUGGAGUGUGAACUGCGUAGAAGAUCGCAGGAACACUUUCUCCGAUUUCAAACACAAAUUUGCCUUCAGUUUUUGAAAGACAAGUCGAAAUAGAAGAGGAAUGUUUAGUUCCAUGAGCCCAACACAUGCAUGAGGUGUGGAAGCGAGAAUGAUUAGUGUCAGUCUUAUUGACAAGGUGGCAGUUCCCAGUUUAUACAGGGUCCUUGACCGACUGACCCCGGCAUCCUCCCAUCGAUGCAUACAAGCCGCCUGUCCGGCUCCUACCCACGUGACAAGACCGCCAUGAUGGAGACUGAAAAUCACUCUGGACAAAUAAAGAGUGGUGAUAAAUCAGGAUCAACAGUUGUAACAGAUGCCCACAGAAGGGAAUGUUUUAAUGCGUUUUUUUAUCUCUGAUUU